CUACCAUGCAAGUCGAGGGGUAACAGGGAAGAGCUUGCUCUUUCGCUGACGACCGGCGCACGGGUGCGUAACGCGUAUACAACCUACCUUUUGGAGGGGAAUAGCCCAGGGAAACUUGGAUUAAUGCCCCAUAGUAUGGGAAUAUCUCCUGAUAUUUUCAUUAAACAUUUAUGGCCAUUAGAUGGGUAUGCGUCCUAUUAGUUAGUUGGUAAGGUAACGGCUUACCAAGGCAGCGAUAGGUAGGGGUCCUGAGAGGGAGAUCCCCCACACUGGUACUGAGACACGGACCAGACUCCUACGGGAGGCAGCAGUGAGGAAUAUUGGACAAUGGGCGAGAGCCUGAUCCAGCCAUGCCGCGUGCAGGAAGACUGCCCUAUGGGUUGUAAACUGCUUUUACAGAGGAAGAACCACUCCCACGUGUGGGAGUUUGACGGUACUCUGCGAAUAAGGAUCGGCUAACUCCGUGCCAGCAGCCGCGGUAAUACGGAGGAUCCAAGCGUUAUCCGGAAUCAUUGGGUUUAAAGGGUCCGUAGGCGGGCAGUUAAGUCAGUGGUGAAAGUCUUCCGCUCAACGGGAGAACUGCCAUUGAUACUGAUUGUCUUGAGUUAUUAUGAAGUGGUUAGAAUGAGUAGUGUAGCGGUGAAAUGCAUAGAUAUUACUCAGAAUACCGAUUGCGAAGGCAGAUCACUAAUAAUAUACUGACGCUGAUGGACGAAAGCGUAGGUAGCGAACAGGAUUAGAUACCCUGGUAGUCUACGCCGUAAACGAUGGUUACUAGCUGUUCGGCCCGAUUAAGGGCUGAGUGGUUAAGCGAAAGUGAUAAGUAACCCACCUGGGGAGUACGUUCGCAAGAAUGAAACUCAAAGGAAUUGACGGGGGCCCGCACAAGCGGUGGAGCAUGUGGUUUAAUUCGAUGAUACGCGAGGAACCUUACCAGGGCUUAAAUGUAGUCUGACAGGAGUGGAAACACUUUUUUCUUCGGACAGAUUACAAGGUGCUGCAUGGUUGUCGUCAGCUCGUGCCGUGAGGUGUCAGGUUAAGUCCUAUAACGAGCGCAACCCCUGUGGUUAGUUGCCAGCGAGUAAUGUCGGGAACUCUAGCCAGACUGCCGGUGCAAACCGCGAGGAAGGUGGGGAUGACGUCAAAUCAUCACGGCCCUUACGUCCUGGGCCACACACGUGCUACAAUGGUAGGGACAGAGAGCAGCCACUUCGCGAGAAGGAGCGAAUCUACAAACCCUAUCACAGUUCGGAUCGCAGUCUGCAACUCGACUGCGUGAAGCUGGAAUCGCUAGUAAUCGCAUAUCAGCCAUGAUGCGGUGAAUACGUUCCCGGGCCUUGUACACACCGCCCGUCAAGCCAUGGAAGCCGGGGGUACCUGAAGUCGGUCACCGCAAGGAGCCGCCUG
rnacentral:rRNA from 1 species